GGAGUCCGAUCGCAAGAUUAAAACUCAAAGGAAUUGACGGGGCCCCGCACAAGCAACGGAGCAUGCGGCUUAAUUCGACGCAACGCGAAGAACCUUACCAAGGCUUGACAUAUAGGGAAAAGCGGCAGAGAUGUCGUGUCCGCAAGGGCUCUAUACAGGUGGUGCAUGGUUGUCGUCAGCUCGUGUCGUGAGAUGUUGGGUUAAGUCCCGCAACGAGCGCAACCCUCGUUCUGUGUUGCCAGCAUUUAGUUGGGGACUCACAGGAGACUGCCGGGGUUAACUCGGAGGAAGGUGGGGAUGACGUCAAAUCAUCAUGCCCCUUAUGUCUUGGGCCGCACGCAUGCUACAAUGGCCGAUACGAAGGGCUGCGAUACCGUAAGGUGGAGCGAAUCCCAAAAAGUCGGUCUCAGUUCGGAUUGAGGUCUGCAACUCGACCUCAUGAAGUCGGAGUUGCUAGUAAUCGUAGAUCAGCAACGCUACGGUGAAUACGUUCCCGGGGCUUGUACACACCGCCCGUCACGUCACGAAAGUCGGUAACACCC
rnacentral:rRNA from 1 species